rnacentral:rRNA from 1 species
UACAGAGACUGCAAGCGUUAUUCGGAUUCACUGGGCGUAAAGGGUGCGCAGGCGGCCAUGUGUGUUGGGCGUGAAAGCCCGGGGCUUAACCCCGGAAUUGCACUCAAAACUACAUGGCUAGAGCAUUGGAGAGGUGAGCAGAAUUCACGGUGUAGCAGUGAAAUGCGUAGAUAUCGUGAGGAAUACCAGAGGCGAAGGCGG